GUUUUAUGAGUUCACUACCAUAAUAAUAAGAAAAUAAUCCCAAAUGCAAACUCCAAAUAACUUCAAAUAUAAAAACAAGUCCUAACAAAUUAAUCAGAUCACAAUAGUAAAAGAAAAUGCAGAAGCCAGCGAACCUAUACAGUAAGAGAAGUGAAUUAUUUUGUGAAGCAUCAACAUAAAUGGUUAUAAUUCUCAGACCCACCUAAACCUACACAUUAUUACUACAAUUUUUAUCUUUCGUUUGAUCUUUUGUUUUUCAUAUUUUUCAGUCUCUAAUCAAUUUUUUUUCAUCUCCUCUUAUUUCUUCUUGUGGGUCCUCUUCUCCCUGACCAGUGACCUCUGUGCAUCUCCACGUUUUACUAAUAGCUUUGCUGUAUCUACUGUUACCACUCUUAUUAUUACUCAAACUUAAAUGUCACUUAAAUGCAAACUAUAUAUUUAGGUGAAAACCAAAUCAAAUAGCA
rnacentral:lncRNA from 1 species